UCUGCGCUCAGCAAUGAAAUAUAUAUACAAAAUGCUCAUCACUCACUCUGCGUAUCCCGUGCGCCACGGCAGCCUGCUGUCCCUCCUCAGCAUCAGCACCGGGCGCGAGGCGUGCUCGGUGGAGUACUGGAGCAGCUCCGGGGUGAACCGUGUGAGCGAAUGAAAGAGGAUCAAUGUGACGAUGGCCGAACAGAAAAUGAAGAUGCAACGUCGACGAUUAUUUCAGGAAACGGUUCUCCGAGCCCCAUGUGACGCGUGAUGGACGCAGUGUUCCUCAUUCAGAAGACCAGCUGCAGCCUGCAGCGUGUCGGUCGGAGCGUAAGACCCAGCUCUGCUGGGAAGAAGGCUUCACUCACUUCUGCAUUUUAUGCCUUUUACGUCCGGACAAGCAUUGAAAGGGGCGGUAGUAGAUCAGGAGGAAGAGCGGGUUGAAUUUUAACCGGAACGUUGAUGGUUCGAUCCCCGGUUCCACCUAGCUGACUGUCGAGAAGUCUCUGAGCAAGACGCGACGCCUCCCCCUAAUUGCUGCCGAAAAGCUGCCUGUCACCCUGCGUGGUUGACUCCGCCGUCGUUGUGAAUUUGUGCAUGAAUCGUUUAAAAUCGCUUUGGAUUAAAGCUUCAUCAAAAUCCCCUCAAUGUAAAUGAAACGUCCAAUAAAUAAUGAAGUUGAUAA